GACGAACGCUGGCGGCGCGCUUAACACAUGCAAGUCGAGCGAUGAAACUUUAACAGACCCCUUCGGGGCGAAGCUAAAGUGGAUUAGCGGCGGACGGGUGAGUAACACGUGAGUAACCUGCCUUAGACAUUGGGAUAGCCUCGGGAAACCGGGAUAAAUACCAAAUCAAAUCAUAAUGACACAUGUCAUAUCGCUCAAAACUCCGGUGGGCUAGGAUGGACUCGCGUCCCAUUCGCUAGUUGGUAGAGUAAAAGCCUACCAAGGCGACGAUGGGUAGCCGGGAUGUGAGGCACGGUCGCGACAUCGACACUGAGCAGCAGUCCAGAAUCCUACGGGAGGCAGCAGUGCCUGAUAGUGCAAAACGGAGUGAGCGCUGAAGGAGUGACGCCGCGUAAACGAUGAAGUCUGGCAAGAAGUAAAGUGCUUUUAUAUGGGAAGAUAAUGACGGUACCAUAAGAAAAAGCCCCGGCUAACUACGUG
rnacentral:rRNA from 1 species